GUCCUACGGGAGGCAGCAGUGGGGAAUAUUGCACAAUGGGGGGAACCCUGAUGCAGCAAUGCCGCGUGGGUGAAGAAGCACUCCGGUGCGUAAAGCCCUGUCAGCAGGGAAGAAAAUGACAGUACCUGGACAAGAAGCCCCGGCUAACUCCGUGCCAGCAGCCGCGGUAAUACGUAGGGGGCAAGCGUUAUCCGGAUUCACUGGGCGUAAAGGGAGCGCAGGCGGCAUGGCAAGUCUGAUGUGAAAACCCGGGGCCCAACCCCGGGAGUGCAUUGGAAACUGCCAGGCUGGAGUGUCGGAGGGGG
rnacentral:rRNA from 1 species